GUAGUCAUAUGCUUGUCUCAAAGAUUAAGCCAUGCAUGUCUAAGUAUAAGCGCCUUAUACUGUGAAACUGCGAAUGGCUCAUUAUAUCAGUAAUAGUUUAUUUGAUGGUCCCUUACUACCUGGAUACCCGUAGUAAUUCUAGAGCUAAUACAUGCACUACGGUCCCAACUGCACCAUCGGGUGCGGGCGGGAUGCCUUUAUUAGAUUGAAACCAAUGCGGCGCAAGCCGGUGUUGUGGUGACUCAUGAUAACAUAGCGAAUAGCAUGCCCCUCGUGGGCGGCGAUGUUUCAUUCAAGUUUCUGCCCUAUCAGC
rnacentral:rRNA from 1 species